rnacentral:sRNA from 1 species
GCGAUGAGCUUAUUUGCAUAAGACGAGAUUGACGCGCCGUCAUCGGCAAUGCACAAUGUGGAGUGCUGUCUCUCGCAGCAAAGCGUAGAAAAAGACGCCUUACGGGGCGUCUU